rnacentral:ncRNA from 1 species
CUGACCAGGAUGCAUGGGUCGACGUUCGUGCAACGAGCCCUCUCCGCCUGCUAAGCCAGGCGGAUGCGCCAAAAGUCAG